rnacentral:rRNA from 1 species
AUUGAACGCUGGCGGCAUGCCUUACACAUGCAAGUCGAACGGCAUCGCGGGAAAGCUUGCUUUCCUGGCGGCGAGUGGCGCACGGGUGAGUAACACAUCGGAACGUACCGGCUAGUGGGGGAUAACCCGUCGAAAGACGGGCUAAUACCGCAUACGCUCUUCGGAGGAAAGCAGGGGACCUUUGGGCCUUGCGCUAGUCGAGCGGCCGAUGUCCGAUUAGCUAGUUGGUGGGGUAAAGGCCUACCAAGGCGACGAUCGGUAGCGGGUCUGAGAGGACGAUCCGCCACACUGGGACUGAGACACGGCCCAGACUCCUACGGGAGGCAGCAGUGGGGAAUCUUGGACAAUGGGGGCAACCCUGAUCCAGCAAUGCCGCGUGGGUGAAGAAGGCCUUCGGGUUGUAAAGCCCUUUCGGCAGGGAAGAAAUCGGCGGGGCGAAUAACCCUGCUGGAUGACGGUACCUGCAGAAGAAGCACCGGCUAACUACGUG